GAUGUUAGUUGUUAUUUGUCCAUGGGUUGCAUUGGUGCAAUGGCUAGAUCCGUCUGGAGCACAAACUGAACCUCCUAGAUUUGCUAAAACAAUAAUCAACAGCAAGGUACACCGAAAGGACAUCACGAAAAUAAAGACGAAUCCUUUCAUUAUGUGGAAACAAAUAGAGUGCCCUCGUCAACCUCUAGGCUCCAAGGAUAGUGGAUAUUAUGUAUGCCGCUACAUGAUCGAGACAAUAGAGUCGAGACAUAUGAUCAUUCCUGACAAGGUAUUUC